GACGAACGCUGGCGGCGUGCUUAACACAUGCAAGUCGAACGGAAAGGCCCUGCUUUUGUGGGGUGCUCGAGUGGCGAACGGGUGUGUAACACGUGAGUAACCUGCCCUUGACUUUGGGAUAACUUCAGGAAACUGGGGCUAAUACCGGAUAGGAGCUCCUGCUGCAUGGUGGGGGUUGGAAAGUUUCGGCGGUUGGGGAUGGACUCGCGGCUUAUCAGCUUGUUGGUGGGGUAGUGGCUUACCAAGGCUUUGGCGGGUAGCCGGCCUGAGAGGGUGACCGGCCACAUUGGGACUGAGAUACGGCCCAGACUCCUACGGGAGGCAGCAGUGGGGAAUAUUGCACAAUGGGCGGAAGCCUGAUGCAGCAACGCCGCGUGCGGGAUGACGGCCUUCGGGUUGUAAACCGCUUUCGCCUGUGACGAAGCGUGAGUGACGGUAAUGGGUAAAGAAGCACCGGCUAACUACGUG
rnacentral:rRNA from 1 species